UCCGUAGGUGGCAAGCGUUGUCCGGAAUUAUUGGGCGUAAAGCGCGCGCAGGCGGUCCUUUAAGUCUGAUGUGAAAGCCCGCGGCUCAACCGUGGAGGGUCAUUGGAAACUGGGGGACUUGAGUGCAGAAGAGGAAAGCGGAAUUCCACGUGUAGCGGUGAAAUGCGUAGAGAUGUGGAGGAACACCAGUGGCGAAGGCGGCUUUCUGGUCUGUAACUGACGCUGAGGCGCGAAAGCGUGGGGAGCAAACAGG
rnacentral:rRNA from 1 species